UUGUAGCAAUGGUCUGUCACAAU
rnacentral:miRNA from 1 species